GAACGCUUCUUUCCUCCCGAGUGCUUGCACUCAAUUGGAAAGAGGAGUGGCGGACGGGUGAGUAACACGUGGGUAACCUACCCAUCAGAGGGGGAUAACACUUGGAAACAGGUGCUAAUACCGCAUAACAGUUUAUGCCGCAUGGCAUAAGAGUAAAAGGCGCUUUCGGGUGUCGCUGAUGGAUGGACCCGCGGUGCAUUAGCUAGUUGGUGAGGUAACGGCUCACCAAGGCCACGAUGCAUAGCCGACCUGAGAGGGUGAUCGGCCACACUGGGACUGAGACACGGCCCAGACUCCUACGGGAGGCAGCAGUAGGGAAUCUUCGGCAAUGGACGAAAGUCUGACCGAGCAACGCCGCGUGAGUGAAGAAGGUUUUCGGAUCGUAAAACUCUGUUGUUAGAGAAGAACAAGGACGUUAGUAACUGAACGUCCCCUGACGGUAUCUAACCAGAAAGUCACGGCUAACUACGUGCCAGCAGCCGCGGUAAUACGUAGGUGGCAAGCGUUGUCCGGAUUUAUUGGGCGUAAGCGAGCGCAGGCGGUUUCUUAAGUCUGAUGUGAAAGCCCCCGGCUCAACCGGGGAGGGUCAUUGGAAACUGGGAGACUUGAGUGCAGAAGAGGAGAGUGGAAUUCCAUGUGUAGCGGUGAAAUGCGUAGAUAUAUGGAGGAACACCAGUGGCGAAGGCGGCUC
rnacentral:rRNA from 1 species